UCUGAACUUCCCAAGUUUAAGAGUGAGAU
rnacentral:piRNA from 1 species